UGACGUCACGAAGCAACAUGUCGGAUCUUGUUCACAGUGUUCUUCGUUAUGACGCACAUUACUCACAUCAGUGUUUCAGUGUAUUAAUCUUUGAAGUGAUAAAGAAGUUUGUGUGAAAAGCAUUUUUUGAAAGUAUAAUUAUAUUUUUUAUAUAACUUAAAAGUUAUUUGUCGAUUAGCAUAUUAAUGUAAAUAAUAUCAAGGUUAAAUAAGUUCAAUACAAAAACUGAACCAUAUUAAUAUUGUGUUAAACAAAAAAAAAAGUGUACUAUAAACUUCUCUCUAGACGUUAAUUACUCGGUGUGUAUUGUGUACAAAAUACGAACUUGUGGACUAAUUUAGCUAGAUAAAAAUUUGUGUUGUGUGUAAAGCUUCGUUUUUAUGUUUAAUUACGUAAAACAUUUAAGAUGGCUUUUAUGUAUUAUUUUAUUUUUAAAUAAUUCAUCCAAGUUUUAUUUUUAAAUAAUUCAUCCAAUAAAGAAUUUGAUAUAUUGAAUAUCGUGGUACCGGAUGUAAAUAGCCUGAAUCAUUGUUAAAAAGUACUAAGUAUUGUAAAUUAUUACAAACGAUAGUUAAACAUUGUGAAGGGUCUGCCUGACAUGGCCAACGUUUUAUGUUCAAAUAAGUGGCACAGCAGAAACAAUGGAAGAGGCAGAGGAAAAAUUAAUAAGAUUAAAAAGAACCCCUAUUCUUCUCUACCAAUAAUGAGUAGUCUGCUAAAGCAAAUGAUUGAUUAAAAAUAGAUAAUAUAUUUAGCCAAAUAGCUUUAGAGUUAACUGACGAACCGACUGAAAUUGCAGAACCUAAGAAAUAAAAGCCAAAAAAAUGUAACCAAAAAAUAGUGAAGAAACAAGCCUAAAAACAUAGUCUCGAAUGGUCAUCUACAUCAAUAGCGUCUUUGAUAUCUUCAUCACCACCGUCAUCAUUAUGUAAACCUAUAGAAAUAAAUAAUGAAACUAAAUAAAACGAAUUAAUGACAGUACUAACUAUAUUGUUGACUCAAAAAAAAGGAAAAAAUUAGUUCAUAAUCUACACCAUACCACCUUGAUCAUCUUCAUCAUCACCAUCAACUAAAAGUACGA